UGGUACGCCGGCAUCAUGGAAGGAUGGGGCUUUGGCGGGGGGACGUCGUGGUGGGCGCGGUCGGAGCGGCGGCUGUAUGGCCGCGCGUACGCGUUGAGCCCUGUCGCUGCCAUGGCUCCGGGAGGCACUGCAGGUGGGAGGAGGAGGAGACGGCGAGGUUGGAAGACGAACGACGUUCGCCGGCGGGGUCCCUGGCCGGGGACACGGUCUGGAUUCUUUAUAGGAGCGUGGGUGGGAAUUGGCUGGAGACAUCCAUCGAGAAGACAUGGUCAUUUUGGUGUCUCACCGAAA
rnacentral:lncRNA from 1 species